GCCAGGCGUUGUGGCGGGCGCCUGUAGUCCCAGCUACUUGGGAGGCUGAGGCAGGAGACUCGCUUGAGCCCAGGAGUUGGAGGUUGCUGUGAGCGUGAUGCCAUGGCACUCUACCCAGGGGGAUAGCUUGAGGCUCCGUCUCAAAAAAAAAAAAAAAGAAAUUUCCAUUCUCUGGUGAAGUUCUCCAUCUUUAUGUCCAUGUUGCCCAUGCUCCCCUACCUUUUUUUUUUUUUGAGACAGAGCCUCAAGCUGUCCCCCUGGGCUGAGUGCCGUGGCAUUACAGCUCACAGCAACCUCCAACUCCUGGGCUCAAGCGAGUCUCCUGCCUCCG
rfam:Otolemur garnettii contig040783, whole genome shotgun sequence.